GACGAACGCUGGCGGCGUGCUUAACACAUGCAAGUCGAACGGGCCCGCUCUCUUUUUUGGGGGUGGGUUGCGUGGCGAACGGUUGAGUAUCCCGUGAGUAACCUGCCCCCUGCUCCUGGAUAACUGCUUGAAAGGGCGGCUAAUACGGGUUGUGCCGGCUGGUCCGCAUGGGCCCGGCCGGGUUAGUUUCACCUUCGGGUGUUUCGGUGGGGGCUGGGCUCGCGGCCUUUCAGCUUGUUGGUGGGGUGAGGGCCCACCAAGGCGGUGACGGGUAGCCGCCCUGAGAGGGUGGGCGGCCACACUGGGACUGAGACACGGCCCAGGCUCCGGCGGGAGGCAGCAGUGGGGGGUAUUGCACAAUGGGCGGAAGCCUGAUGCAGCGACGUCGCGUGAGGGAUGGAGGGCUUCGGGUUGUGAACCUCUUUCUCCGGUGGUGAAGGCCCUGUCCGUUGCGGCGGGGUUGACGGUAGCCGGGUAUGAAGCGCCGGCUAACUACGUG
rnacentral:rRNA from 1 species